AACAAGAAGAGGAUGACGAAAAUGAAGAGCAGGAGGAAGAAGAGGGUGAAAUCAGUGCGGGGAAAGAUGGAGAGAACAACGAAGAUGAAAGCAGUGAGGAGUUAAUCGAAGAAAAAAGCAAAGACAAGAACAAAGAAGACAAAAAGGGCGAAAAAAGCGAAAACAAAGAAAAUGCUGCAGACGAUAAAAGACGGCUGAUGACAUUGUUGAUGCGUGAAUUGAAAGACUUGGAAACGGAAAAUUAAAUUCUCAAAUCGAUUGAAUAACGAUGAUGCUUAUCUUGAAUAUUACACUCUUUUACAAACGCAGUUGAUUUUAAGAUUACAUAAACUAGUACUUCUAUAGUUGUAAAAAAAAAUGAUUUCCAAAUUCAAAUAAAGUCAAGUUAUAUAAGCUAUU
rnacentral:misc_RNA from 1 species